UGGGGAAUAUUGCACAAUGGGCGCAGGCCUGAUGCAGCCAUGCCGCGUGUAUGAAGAAGGCCUUCGGGUUGUAAAGUACUUUCAGCGGGGAGGAAGGUGUUGAGGCUAAUAACCUCAGCAAUUGACGUUACCCGCAGAAGAAGCACCGGCUAACUCCGUGCCAGCAGCCGCGGUAAUACGGAGGGUGCAAGCGUUAAUCGGAAUUACUGGGCGUAAAGCGCACGCAGGCGGUCUGUCAAGUCGGAUGUGAAAUCCCCGGGCUCAACCUGGGAACUGCAUUCGAAACUGGUAGGCUAGAGUCUUGUAGAGGGGGGUAGAAUUCCAGGUGUAGCGGUGAAAUGCGUAGAGAUCUGGAGGAAUACCGGUGGCGAAGGCGGCCCCCUGGACAAAGACUGACGCUCAGGUGCGAAAGCGUGGGGAGCAAACA
rnacentral:rRNA from 1 species